rnacentral:rRNA from 1 species
CACCGGCAAUGGAAGAAACUCUGACCGAGCAACGCCGCGUGAAUGACGAAGUACUUCGGUAUGUAAAGUUCUUUUAUCAAGGAAGAAAAGCAAAUGGCGAACCAUUUGUUUGCCGGUACUUGAUGAAUAAGCCCCGGCUAAUUAUGUGCCAGCAGCCGCGGUAAGACAUAAGGGGCAAGUGUUAUCCGGAAUUAUUGGGCGUAAAGGGUGCGUAGGCGGUCUAGUAAGUCAGUGGUGUAAUGGCAACGCUUAACGUUGUCCGGCUAUUGAAACUGCUAAACUUGAGUUAGAUAGAGGCGAGUGGAAUUCCAUGUGUAGCGGUAAAAUGCGUAAAUAUAUGGAGGAACACCAGAGGCGUAGGCGGCUCGCUGGGUCUUAACUGACGCUGAGGCACGAAAGCGUGGGGAGCAAACAGGAUUAGAUACCCUGGUAGUCCACGCCGUAAACGAUGAGUACUAAGUGUCGGGUUAAACCGGUACUGAAGUUAACACAUUAAGUACUCCGCCUGAGUAGUACGUACGCAAGUAUGAAACUUAAAGGAAUUGACGGGACUCCGCACAAGCGGUGGAUCAUGUUGUUUAAUUCGAAGAUACCCGAAAAACCUUACCAGGUCUUGACAUGUUUUUGCAAAAUGAUAGUAAUAUCGUGGAGGUUACCAGAAACACAGGUGGUGCAUGGUUGUCGUCAGCUCGUGUCGUGAGAUGUUAGGUUAAGUCCUAAAACGAGCGAAACCCUUAUCGUUAGUUGCCAGCACGUUAUGGUGGGGACUUUAACGAGACUGCCAAUGAUAAAUUGGAGGAAGGUGAGGAUCACGUCAAAUCAGCAUGCCCCUUAUGUCCUGGGCUACAAACGUGAUACAAUGGCUGUUACAAGAAUAGCUGAAAAGU